UGGGGAAUAUUGCACAAUGGGCGAAAGCCUGAUGCAGCAACGCCGCGUGCGGGAAGAAGGCCCUAGGGUUGUAAACCGCUUUCAGCAGGGAAGAAAAUGACGGUACCUGCAGAAGAAGGUGCGGCCAACUACGUGCCAGCAGCCGCGGUGACACGUAGGCACCAAGCGUUGUCCGGAUUUAUUGGGCGUAAAGAGCUCGUAGGCGGUUCAGUAAGUCGGGUGUGAAAACUCUGGGCUCAACCCAGAGACGCCACCCGAUACUGCUGUGACUUGAGUACGGUAGGGGAGUGGGGAAUUCCUGGUGUAGCGGUGAAAUGCGCAGAUAUCAGGAGGAACACCAGUGGCGAAGGCGCCACUCUGGGCCGUAACUGACGCUGAGGAGCGAAAGCCAGGGGAGCAAACGGGAUUAGAUACCCACGUAGUCCCUGAGCGGGCUGGCAAGGCGCAU
rnacentral:rRNA from 1 species